GAUGAACGCUGGCGGCGUGCCUAAUACAUGCAAGUCGAGCGAACGGACGAGAAGCUUGCUUCUCUGAUGUUAGCGGCGGACGGGUGAGUAACACGUGGAUAACCUACCUAUAAGACUGGGAUAACUUCGGGAAACCGGAGCUAAUACCGGAUAAUAUUUUGAACCGCAUGGUUCAAAAGUGAAAGACGGUCUUGCUGUCACUUAUAGAUGGAUCCGCGCUGCAUUAGCUAGUUGGUAAGGUAACGGCUUACCAAGGCAACGAUGCAUAGCCGACCUGAGAGGGUGAUAGGCCACACUGGAACUGAGACACGGUCCAGACUCCUACGGGAGGCAGCAGUAGGGAAUCUUCCGCAAUGGGCGAAAGCAUGACGGAGCAACGCCGCGUGAGUGAUGAAGGUCUUCGGAGCGUAAAACUCUGUUAUUAGGGAAGAACAUAUGUGUAAGUAACUGUGCACAUCUUGACGGUACCUAAUCAGAAAGCCACGGCUAACUACGUG
rnacentral:rRNA from 1 species